rnacentral:rRNA from 1 species
UACGUAGGGUGCAAGCGUUGUCCGGAAUUAUUGGGCGUAGAGAGCUCGUAGGCGGUUUGUUGCGUCGGCUGUGAAAACCUGAGGCUCAACCUCAGGCCUGCAGUCGAUACGAGCAGACUAGAGUGUUGCAGGGGAGACUGGAAUUCCUGGUGUAGCGGUGAAAUGCGCAGAUAUCAGGAGGAACACCGGUGGCGAAGGCGGGUCUCUGGGCAACAACUGACGCUGAGGAGCGAAAGCGUGGGGAGCGAACAGG